ensembl:snoRNA small nucleolar RNA SNORA81
GAUUUCUUGGAUAUGACCCCAAAAGCACAGGCAACAAAAGCAAAAAAAUAUACACACAAGAAGAAAAGUAAGUGCACUAGAUGAUAAAGACUAAAGUGGACCUCUUUCUUAAUGUCCAGUGUUAUUUGUCUUAAAAUUUGGUGCAAUGUGU